rnacentral:rRNA from 1 species
GGAAUAUUGGUCAAUGGACGAGAGUCUGAACCAGCCAAGUAGCGUGCAGGAUGACGGCCCUAUGGGUUGUAAACUGCUUUUAUAAGGGAAUAAAGUGAGUCUCGUGAGACUUUUUGCAUGUACCUUAUGAAUAAGGACCGGCUAAUUCCGUGCCAGCAGCCGCGGUAAUACGGAAGGUCCGGGCGUUAUCCGGAUUUAUUGGGUUUAAAGGGAGCGUAGGCCGGAGAUUAAGCGUGUUGUGAAAUGUAGAUGCUCAACAUCUGCACUGCAGCGCGAACUGGUUUCCUUGAGUACGCACAAAGUGGGCGGAAUUCGUGGUGUAGCGGUGAAAUGCUUAGAUAUCACGAAGAACUCCGAUUGCGAAGGCAGCUCACUGGAGCGCAACUGACGCUGAAGCUCGAAAGUGCGGGUAUCGAAC